rnacentral:rRNA from 1 species
CCUACGGGGUGCAGCAGUGAGGAAUAUUGGUCAAUGGGCGAGAGCCUGAACCAGCCAAGUCGCGUGAGGGAGUACUGCCCUAUGGGUUGUAAACCUCUUUUGUCGGGGAGCAAAAGCCGGACGUGUCCGGCUGUUAGAUUACCCGCAUAAACAGCAUCGGCUAACUCCGUUCCAGCCGCCGCGGUAAUACGGAGGCUGCCAGCGUUAUCCGGGUUUAUUGGGUUUAAAGGGUGCGACGGCGGUUUUUUAAGUCAGCGGUAAAAUCGUGGGGCUCAACCCCAUCCAGCCGUUGAAACUGGGGAUCUAGAGUGUGCGAGAGGUAGGCGGAAUGCGUGGUGUAGCGGUGAAAUGCAUAGAUAUCACGCAGAACCCCGAUUGCGAAGGCAGCAUACCGGUGCACAACUGACGCUCAGGCACGAAAGCGUGGGUAUCGAACAGGAUUAGAUACCCGUGUAGUC